rnacentral:rRNA from 1 species
CGGAGGAUCCAAGCGUUAUCCGGAAUCAUUGGGGUUUAAAGGGUCCGUAGGCGGCUUUUGUAAGUCAGUGGUGAAAUCCGGCAGCUUAACUGUCGAACUGCCAUUGAUACUGCAGGGCUUGAAUUAUUGGGAAGUAACUAGAAUAUGUAGUGUAGCGGUGAAAUGCUUAGAUAUUACAUGGAAUACCGAUUGCGAAGGCAGGUUACUAUCAAUACAUUGACGCUGAUGGACGAAAGCGUGGGUAGCGAACAGGAUU